GUACAGAGUGCACAUCUUUCCUUUCUCUCUCUCUCUCUCUCUCUCUCUCUGUGUGUGUGUGUGUGUGUGUGAGAGAGAGAGAGAGAGAGAGAGAGAGAGAGAGAGAAAAUGGACACUUCAG
rnacentral:miRNA from 1 species